AAUUUUGACUGCAUUUGCACACUGAAAGGAGUGGGUAUCCUGUGGAAAUCUUAGAAUUUAAUAACCUUUUAUAAUUAAAUUUCUAAUGAAACAAUCAUUUGGCUUCUCCUGAUUCAAAAUAAUGGAAGAAGAAUUUUCAUUCCUGGAUCAUUUUAGUGCAGUAUCUUCUACAGUUAAAUCUGUUUUGGGAUUAGCAGAGAGCCUGCAAGUUACACUGAAAUCUGAGCCUACUGUUGAAGAGAAAGGGCUCAUAGAUGCUGUUAUUGAACCACUUGAAUAUACUUUUAUUAUUAGAAAUGAAGAUCUAAAACAAAUGCUGGAAAGCAACAAAGAUUCUGCCAAACUGGAUGCUAUGAAACGAAUAGUUGGGAUGAUUGCAAAGGGGAAAAAUGCAUCUGAACUCUUUCCUGCUGUUGUGAAAAAUGUGGCCAGUAAAAAUAUUGAGAUCAAAAAGUUGGUCUAUGUUUAUCUGGUCCGAUAUGCUGAGGAGCAACAAGAUCUGGCUCUCUUGUCCAUCAGCACUUUUCAACGAGCUCUAAAAGAUCCUAAUCAAUUAAUUCGUGCAAGUGCUUUGAGAGUCCUUUCCAGUAUCAGAGUACCAAUCAUUGUUCCUAUCAUGAUGCUUGCUAUUAAGGAAGCUUCUGCUGAUUUAUCGCCAUAUGUUAGAAAGAAUGCUGCCCAUGCAAUACAAAAAUUGUACAGCCUUGAUCCAGAGCAAAAAGAAAUGUUAAUUGAAGUAAUUGAAAAACUUCUGAAAGAUAAAAGCACACUGGUAGCUGGGAGUGUUGUGAUGGCUUUUGAAGAAGUGUGCCCUGAUAGAAUAGAUCUCAUUCACAGAAACUACCGCAAGCUGUGUAAUUUGCUAGUUGAUGUUGAAGAGUGGGGGCAGGUUGUCAUAAUCCACAUGCUUACCCGAUAUGCACGUACACAGUUUGUGAGUCCUUGGAAAGAGGAUGACAACCUAGAAGAGAACAGUGAAAAGAAUUUCUAUGAAUCUGAUGAAGAGCAAAAAGACAAAACUGAUAAAAGUAAGGUACCUUAUGCUAUGGAUCCAGACCAUCGACUGCUCAUUAGAAAUACAAAGCCUUUGCUACAGAGUAGGAAUGCUGCGGUCGUGAUGGCAGUUGCUCAACUGUAUUGGCACUUAUCACCAAAAUCUGAAGCUGGUAUUAUUUCUAAAUCAUUAGUACGUUUACUUCGUAGUAAUAGGGAGGUGCAGUAUAUUGUUCUACAGAAUAUAGCAACUAUGUCAAUUCAGAGAAAGGGUAUGUUUGAACCUUUUUUGAAGAGUUUUUAUGUUAGAUCAACUGAUCCAACUAUGAUCAAGACACUGAAGCUUGAAAUAUUGACAAAUUUGGCAAAUGAAGCCAAUAUAUCAACGCUCCUUCGAGAAUUUCAGACCUAUGUAAAAAGUCAAGAUAAACAGUUUGCUGCAGCGACCAUCCAGGCUAUAGGCAGAUGUGCAACCAACAUCUCAGAAGUAACUGAUACCUGCCUUAAUGGCUUGGUAUGUUUGCUGUCCAACAGAGAUGAAAUAGUAGUUGCGGAAAGUGUGGUGGUCAUUAAGAAAUUACUACAAAUGCAACCAGCACAGCAUGGUGAGAUUAUCAAACAUAUGGCCAAGCUCUUGGACAGUAUUACUGUUCCUGUGGCUAGAGCAAGUAUUCUUUGGCUGCUAGGGGAAAAUUGUGAACGUGUUCCUAAAAUUGCUCCUGAUGUCUUGAGAAAGAUGGCUAAAAGCUUCACUAGUGAGGAUGAUCUUGUAAAGCUACAGAUUUUAAAUCUAGGAGCCAAAUUGUAUUUAACAAACUCAAAGCAGACAAAAUUGCUUACCCAAUACAUAUUAAAUCUCGGCAAGUAUGACCAAAACUACGACAUCAGAGACCGUACAAGAUUUAUUAGGCAGCUUAUUGUUCCGAAUGAGAAGAGCGGAGCCUUAAGCAAAUAUGCCAAAAAAAUAUUUUUGGCACAAAAGCCUGCCCCAUUGCUUGAAUCUCCUUUUAAAGAAAGGGAUCAUUUCCAGCUUGGGACCUUAUCCCACACUCUGAACAUUAAAGCUUCUGGGUACCUGGAGUUAUCUAAUUGGCCAGAGGUGGCGCCUGACCCAUCAGUCAGAAAUGUUGAAGUGAUUGAAUCAGUAAAGGAAUGGACAUCAAUAUCUGGAAAAGCAAAGAAAGUGAAAGCUGAUGAAAAGUUUUAUUCAGAAUCUGAAGAGGAUGCAUCUGACAGCAACAGUGACAGUGAGAGUGAAUCUGAAAGUGAAAGUGAAGAUGAAGAAAAAGAAGAAGGCAGUAGUGAGGAAAGUGAUGAAUAUUCCUCAGAUGAGAGUGACAGUGAAUCAGAUUUAGACAACAAAAAUCAAGUGGCCAAGCACAAGUCUGCAGUUACAGAAGAAAGUGAUUCUGAUGCUGAUGAAAAGACAAAUGCCAAAUUGAAAUCAUCUGAUUCUUCCGAUUCUGAUUCUAGUUCAAUAGAGGAAAGCUCUUCAGAGUCUGAAUCAGACACAGAAAGUGAAUAUGAAUCAAGAAAACCCAGUAAGAAAGAAGAGAAGAAAACUUGGCCAGAAAGACAACCUAAUAAAAAAGAUGUUUCUCUUCUAGAUCUAGAUGAUUUUAACCCAGUAUCCACACCAGUAGCAGUUCUCACACCAGCUAUUUCUCCAGCCUUAAUAGCUGAUCUGGAGGGUUUAAACUUGUCAGCUUCUUCCCCUGUCAUCAAUGUCAGUACUCCAGUCUUUGUGCCAAUGAAGACUCAUGAGCUGCUUCAUCGAAUGAGUGGCAAAGGAUUAGCUGCCAGUUAUCACUUUCCAAGACAGCCUUGCAUUUUUGGUGAUCAAAUGGUCUCAGUACAAGUGACAUUAAAUAAUACCACUGAUCAGAAGAUUGAAAAUAUCCAUCUCUCUGAUAAAAAACUACCUUCAGGCAUGAGGAUGCAUGUGUUUAGUCCAAUAGAAUCUCUUGAGCCUGGGGGAUCCAUUACUGUUGCAAUGGGUAUUGACUUUUGUGAUUCCACUCAGACUGCCUGUUUCCAGUUGUGUACAAAGGAUGAUUGCUUCAGUGUUAAUAUCCAGCCACCUGUUGGAGAGCUUCUUUUACCUGUGGCCAUGUCAGAGAAAGAUUUUAGGAGAGAGCAAGGACAUUAAGGUUCUUUACCCUUCAAAACUUAUUCCUGGCUCCAAUAUACAAACUCCUUCAUUGCCUUCUGGAAUAAUUCUGUUCAGAAGAAAUGCUGUAUUUUAGAAAUGUAUCUGAACCAACACAUUUGUAAAUAACCACUUAUAAAUGUAAAAUAGUUUCGUAUAGUUCAUGUCUCUGGUGCUCAUCUCAAACGCAACUGCUAAUUGGACUGAGCCUUUCCUCAUAUGAAUAAUGGGAAAUAGCUUUAGGUGUCCUUAGAGGACACACUGAUUAUGCAGCAUGACAAAGUGGAUAGACCUGAGUCAAGACUGCAUGGGUUCAGGUCCUGCCUCUGACACACACCAUGUGACCUGGGCAAAACUCUUGACCUCUCGGUUUUCCCGGCAACUUUCUAAGGCUCUGAGCUGUGUACAGCAGGUGCCGACCAGCAUUGGUCAAGGAAGUCUUUUCAAUGGAAGCUGCCUAAAUUAAUGAAUCACAGAUCUGGACCUCCAGUUUCCUCCAUCUACCAAAAAAAAAUAUUAUAAAAUUCUACAUACUUGGGAAAUAUUUAAAUGCUACACAAUGUCUUUGUUUUUCUACAUUUUCCAAUAUCAUUAGAAAACUGACAACUAAAAACCUCAUGGUGUCAAUGCCAUCAAGUAAUAUCAGCCAGGUUCUCAGAUUGUGCAAGAUGUGGAAUAGAACAUACAGAAUUAUGGUCCCCAUAUUAGAGAAGGGAAAAUAUACUUACUUGUAUUCCUCAUUGUAGUAAAGCAGAUAUUUGGAUGUGCUUCCUUGCCUUCUGCCCUGUCAUGGGGAUGAAAUAAUGUGUAUUUAUAAAGAAAAGAAGGACAAGAGAGCAAUCCUAUGUCCAGCUAUAAAAUGUAUAGUUAUGUAGAGGGGAUUAUAUUUAUUCUUGUGGUUUGUUUACUUUGAAAUCUUUUCAGCUAGAAUAGAAUAACACUUCAUCUCUGCAUUGGUUUUUCUUGGAAGUUGAUCAUUGCCAUAGAAAAAAAAUUAGCUUUGUGUGAUUUUUUUUUUCCUGUUGAUAAAUUGAAUUGAUUCUUAUAUUUGCUGUUCUUACCCUUUGCUGGCUAAAGCCUGCCUCACUGCUUUACACCUGCCCAGCAAACCAAGGAAUGCUGACAGGAAUGAAUGAAACAUCAGCUAUAAUCAUUGCUUCACCACAGAAUUCUACUCCCCCUGUGAUACUUCAGAAGAUU